GACGAACGCUGGCGGCGUGCCUAAUACAUGCAAGUAGAACGCACAGGAUGCACCGUAGUUUACUACACCGUAUUCUGUGAGUUGCGAACGGGUGAGUAACGCGUAGGUAACCUGCCUGGUAGCGGGGGAUAACUAUUGGAAACGAUAGCUAAUACCGCAUAAGAACAUUUACUGCAUGGUAGAUGUUUAAAAGGUGCAAGAGCAUCACUACCAGAUGGACCUGCGUUGUAUUAGCUAGUUGGUGAGGUAACGGCUCACCAAGGCAACGAUACAUAGCCGACCUGAGAGGGUGAUCGGCCACACUGGGACUGAGACACGGCCCAGACUCCUACGGGAGGCAGCAGUAGGGAAUCUUCGGCAAUGGGGGAAACCCUGACCGAGCAACGCCGCGUGAGUGAAGAAGGUUUUCGGAUCGUAAAGCUCUGUUGUUAAGGAAGAACGUGUGUGAGAGUGGAAAGUUCACACAGUGACGGUACUUAACCAGAAAGGGACGGCUAACUACGUGCCAGCAGCCGCGGUAAUACGUAGGUCUCGAGCGUUGUCCGGAUUUAUUGGGCGUAAAGCGAGCGCAGGCGGUUAAAUAAGUCU
rnacentral:rRNA from 1 species